UACGAAGGGGGCUAGCGUUGUUCGGAAUCACUGGGCGUAAAGGGCGCGUAGGCGGCCGAUCAAGUCGGGGGUGAAAGCCUGUGGCUCAACCACAGAAUUGCCUUCGAUACUGUUUGGCUUGAGACCGGAAGAGGUAAGUGGAACUGCGAGUGUAGAGGUGAAAUUCGUAGAUAUUCGCAAGAACACCAGUGGCGAAGGCGGCUUACUGGUCCGGUUCUGACGCUGAGGCGCGAAAGCUAGGGGAGCAAACAGG
rnacentral:rRNA from 1 species